rnacentral:lncRNA from 1 species
UCUGGCUCCUUUCCGAGGCAACAUGCUCGCUCGAGGGCUUGAGGGCUCCUCACGAGCCGGGACGGGGCCGAGUGCCCGGGGAGGGCACUCGUUGCAUGGGGGGGAGGGGCAUCCGUGUGCCUUUCGAUGGGCAAUGUCGGGCGGGGGGCAUGGGUGAGCCCCCGGGGUGAGCCGCGACGUUGGCCACUAGCACGUUUUUCCGAGGCAACAUGCUCGCUCGAGGGCUUGAGGGCUCCUCGACGAGCCGAGACGAGGGGCCGAGCACCCGGGGAGGGCUCUCGUUGCAUGGGGGGGAGGGCCAUCCGUGUGCCUUUCCAUGGGCAACGUCGGGCGGGAGGCAUGGGUGAGCCCCCGGGGUGAGCCGCGACGCUGGCCAUUGGCAAGCUUUUUCGAGGCAACAUGCUCGCUCGAGGGCUUGAGGGCUCCUCGGCGAGCCGAGACGGGGCCGAGUGCACGGGGAGGGCACUCGUUGCAUGGGGGAGGGGCGUCCGUGUGCCUUUUGAUGGGCAGCGUCGGGCGGGAGGCAUGGGUGAGCCCCACGAGGUGAGCCGCGACGUUGGCCAUUGGCACAUUUUUUCGAGGCAACAUGCUCGCACGAGGGGUCUAACCGAGACGGGGAAGGAUGGGGCCAAGUGCACGGGGAGGGCACUCGUUGCAUGGGGGGGAGGGCGUGUCCGCAUUGGGGGCAUGGGACGCAUCCGGGGUGCAGCGUGUACGGGGCACGGGGGGACUACUGUUGCGUGCAAGGGCUCCCCACGGUGUCGCAGGCGUGCUUUCUUCGCAUUAGCGUGUCGUGGGCUUGAGGGUGGCAUAUGCGGGGGCGCCAUGCCUAAGGUGGCAUGGGCGGCCUGCACGC